rnacentral:tRNA from 1 species
CGGAGAGGUGGGUGAGUGGCUGAAACCAACGGUUUGCUAAACCGUCGUGCGGGUAUAAACCUGCACCGCGGGUUCGAAUCCCGCCCUCUCCGU